rnacentral:rRNA from 1 species
AAAUACUUAGUGGCGGACGGGUGAGUAACGCGUGAGAAUCUGCCUUCAGGACGGAGACAACAGUUGGAAACGACUGCUAAGCCCCGAUGAACCGAAAGGGAAAAUAUUUAUAGCCUGAAGAUGAGCUCGCGUCCGAUUAGCUAGUUGGGGGGGUAAAGGCCCACCAAGGCGACGAUCGGUAGCUGGUCUGAGAGGACGAUCAGCCACACUGGGACUGAGACACGGCCCAG